rnacentral:lncRNA from 1 species
GCCAGAUCACUCAACCAAAGCCCAAAUCCUGUAAUAGAUUCUUUCUAACACCCUCUACGGAAACUACCACAGUUCCCCAUGGUAUUCAUGCUCUCUAGUUUCUACCAGUAACAAAACCAACUUGUUCAACAACAGGCAAAACAGGAAAACCAGACCAGCAGAGAGGAGAGAGACCAGCAAUCAGACCCUCCCAGAGACAAUCAUUGUUAACAUAUUGGUGCGG